rnacentral:lncRNA from 1 species
GCUCAGCACAAAUAUAAAAGCGGUCAGAGGGAGCCCAUUUGCUUAGGGGCAGGUGAGGAAGCUGCUGCUAACGGCACUAUUAUUUUAGGACCAAAAUUCAACCUCAUAUUUGGAGCACAUAAUGGGAUGACCCAACUUGGCAUCCAACUGAGGGGUUUGGGACCUCUCCCUGCCCCACUGGACCCCGUAAACCUGAUAGGUGGGCAACGGACCUCACUGACCCAUUCUACUCCAUAGAGCCCAAUCCCUCCUGUAAGAAGGGGACCCAUACGGCAAGGACUUCUCUCACCCCACAUCCCACUAAAAGGGGGCAACAGACCACCAUACCCAAGAUCCAUCCUGCACCACAGACCCCAUCACCCCAUCCCAAAUGGACAGAGGAUCCAGGGAUCCAGCACUCCCCAUGCCAGAGCCAUGGAACUGAGCCUCCUCCAAAGGUUCUGCGUUCUGUAGCAGCCAAGAGAAUGGCUCCAGCCAAUGGGACGUGGGUCCCAUCCCUUCCAAGCAGACACCAAUCUGCAAAGAGGUCCUGCAGACACAGAACCCAAGGCCCUGCCACCAGCACCAGUCCUGCAGCCAAGGACUGGCACGCACCACCAGUGCCCUCCUUUCACACCUGUCCCACAGCACCACCUGGGCCCCCACACCCUGGACUACCAGCCCGAGAGCUCUGCAGUUGCUUUUGAUGCAGUAUUACCUGUGCCCACCUUUCUUCCUGGUCGCCUCGCACAGUGAACCACACGAGGUGUAAGGUUGGGUGGACUGCAUUCAUCACUUGGAGGCAUCUCAGCCUCCUCACCAGCACUGAGGUCGGUGGAGCUGCGGUGGAGCUGUGAGCCCUUCGGUGGGGCAGGAGCGUCCUCUGCUGCCAGGAUUCUCCAGCUUCAGUUCGUCACCAGAUGCAAGGCUAUGCCACGGGGCUGCAGCGAGCCUGCAGCUCAGAAAAGCCCCGAGCACUGCAGAGACAAGCAGGCAGUCUGUGAUGCCUUCAGAGCGUUAUUCACCAAGUUACAAACACCUGCAAAAGCAAACAAGAACCACACUCUGCAGUGAUAAGAAUGCACAGCUUCGCAGACAGGAGCGUAGGGCUUAGGAGAAAGCUCUAUUUCAGAGGUUGGUAGGGAAUUUCACAUCACACAAAGGCACCAACCAAAAGCAGAGUUUCUAACAGCAGUGUUGUCCAGGAGUCCCAGCAGAUGGUGCUGGCACAUUUGGUAUGUGACCCCAUAACAAAGGCAGCUGAGGAUGAGGCAUCAGGCAGUGCUGACGACACGCUUUAUGGACAGGUCAUGCUUUAAUAGGUGCCGUUCCAAUGGCAGCAAUUAAUUGAGAGCAAAGGCUUGACACACAAACCUGAUGAUUUACACUCCCACCAGUCAAGGCAGACAGACCAAGACUAUGAGGCUGACCUGUAACCAGGCUUGGGACGCAGCCUUGAGAAAGGGGGAAUGCUGACAGCGAAUGGGAGCUGACUGCCUAGAAGGGCUACAAAUAUUCUUGGGAACAAGUUGGCUGGGCUGGUUAGCAGGGCUUUAAACUAGAGAUGAUGGGGGAAGGGGAUGUACUGGGUGACAGAGAAGACCACAGGAAUGCUUUCACCUUGGGAGGUGGUAAGGGAAAACCCCAGUCUUGCCCUGGAGGUAUUAGGGAGGGCUCCUCUGAUAAGGCAAUGAGGCCAAUAGCCAAGCUGAAGUGCCUCUAUACCAAUGCACACAGCAUGGGAGAUAAACAGGAGGAGCUAGAAGCCGUGGUGCAAUUGGGAAAGUAUGAUCUAAUUGCUAUCAUGGAAACAUGGUGGGAUGAAUCCCACAAUUGGAAUCUCCUGAUUGAGGACUACGUUGUAGUAGGCGUCUUGCGGGGGCACGGGAUGUACGGGACAGGCCUCUCCCUAAGCAUAGAGAGACAGUGCUAUCGUGCUGACCUUGAUGCAGAGAAAACAGGAGAAGAAGAAGGAUGAGAAAAGAAUGUGGAGACAGCCAAAUAGGGCACGGUGUUGUCUGGCAUGAACCAAUCAGAGUGGGACAUGACAGCACGGUUUUGUAGGUAAAAAUGUAAUAUAAGCUGUGUUUAGUAGUGAAUAGAGGCCAUUUUACCGCUCA